rnacentral:rRNA from 1 species
CAGUCGAGCGGUAGCACAGAGAGCUUGCUCUCGGGUGACGAGCGGCGGACGGGUGAGUAAUGUCUGGGAAACUGCCUGAUGGAGGGGGAUAACUACUGGAAACGGUAGCUAAUACCGCAUAACGUCGCAAGACCAAAGUGGGGGACCUUCGGGCCUCAUGCCAUCAGAUGUGCCCAGAUGGGAUUAGCUAGUAGGUGGGGUAACGGCUCACCUAGGCGACGAUCCCUAGCUGGUCUGAGAGGAUGACCAGCCACACUGGAACUGAGACACGGUCCAGACUCCUACGGGAGGCAGCAGUGGGGAAUAUUGCACAAUGGGCGCAAGCCUGAUGCAGCCAUGCCGCGUGUGUGAAGAAGGCCUUCGGGUUGUAAAGCACUUUCAGCGGGGAGGAAGGCGAUAAGGUUAAUAACCUUGUCGAUUGACGUUACCCGCAGAAGAAGCACCGGCUAACUCCGUGCCAGCAGCCGCGGUAAUACGGAGGGUGCAAGCGUUAAUCGGAAUUACUGGGCGUAAAGCGCACGCAGGCGGUCUGUCAAGUCGGAUGUGAAAUCCCCGGGCUCAACCUGGGAACUGCAUUCGAAACUGGCAGGCUAGAGUCUUGUAGAGGGGGGUAGAAUUCCAGGUGUAGCGGUGAAAUGCGUAGAGAUCUGGAGGAAUACCGGUGGCGAAGGCGGCCCCCUGGACAAAGACUGACGCUCAGGUGCGAAAGCGUGGGGAGCAAACAGGAUUAGAUACCCUGGUAGUCCACGCCGUAAACGAUGUCGAUUUGGAGGUUGUGCCCUUGAGGCGUGGCUUCCGGAGCUAACGCGUUAAAUCGACCGCCUGGGGAGUACGGCCGCAAGGUUAAAACUCAAAUGAAUUGACGGGGGCCCGCACAAGCGGUGGAGCAUGUGGUUUAAUUCGAUGCAACGCGAAGAACCUUACCUGGUCUUGACAUCCACAGAACUUUCCAGAGAUGGAUUGGUGCCUUCGGGAACUGUGAGACAGGUGCUGCAUGGCUGUCGUCAGCUCGUGUUGUGAAAUGUUGGGUUAAGUCCCGCAACGAGCGCAACCCUUAUCCUUUGUUGCCAGCGGUUCGGCCGGGAACUCAAAGGAGACUGCCAGUGAUAAACUGGAGGAAGGUGGGGAUGACGUCAAGUCAUCAUGGCCCUUACGACCAGGGCUACACACGUGCUACAAUGGCAUAUACAAAGAGAAGCGACCUCGCGAGAGCAAGCGGACCUCAUAAAGUAUGUCGUAGUCCGGAUUGGAGUCUGCAACUCGACUCCAUGAAGUCGGAAUCGCUAGUAAUCGUAGAUCAGAAUGCUACGGUGAAUACGUUCCCGGGCCUUGUACACACCGCCCGUCACACCAUGGGAGUGGGUGCAAAAGAAGUAGGUAGCUUAACCUUCGGGAGGGCGCU